GCAUUUUUAUCCAUUCUUUUCAGACACGAUGGUAUGGAAACGAGUGGCAACAACAGGAAUUCCACCAGCCAAGCGUAACAGUCAUACAUGUGUUUCAUGGAAAAACCUAAUUAUUGCAAUUGGCGGGGAAGAUAAACUAUUAUGUGUCUGGUGUCCAGAUGCUUGAUACAGCUGGAAUUCCAAUGAAAAAUAUUCUAUAUCUCGGUGGACCAAAUACCGCAUCAGAAAUAUAUAAUAAGGAGUAUGCAAAUGCGCGGAUAUGUGGACCAGAGAAAUGGAGGAAAGCACUAGCCAAGUUUCUAAGGCAACCACACUUUACUGUAUGGGAUAACGGUGAUCUUAUCACUCAUGAAGUUAUGGGUGGGUAAGUGGGUUAAAGAACGUCUAUGCCAUUGGAGUUGGAGGCCACAAAUUUGGUAUUCAUUGCCUGAGUGUGAUACUGUGGAGUUCUCUUCUCAUCCACAACCACUGCGCGCAAAAAGUGUUGCUGGUAUUUGAGGUCGAGCAGUUUUUUUAUGAGCCUAGCAAUGGAUGCUGUAGGAUUUGCUUUGGGUGUUAAGAUUUCAACAUGCAACUUUUUCAUUUAGUGUGAAAUUGUAGGCACCCAUUUAUAUUGCAAAGGUGUUUAUAUUGAUAGGAUAUAAUUAGAUAAAUGACAAAGAGGCUAUUUUAUUGAUUAGACAUCUCAUUCAUUUGUGAACAGGUCAAAAUUGCUUGCUUUUGUUGCGAGUUAAGGGUGUGUAAGUUAUUUGAGAAGGAUAAGAUUGUAACUUCCAUAAUAUUGAAAACUGUUAUAUGAGGGUUUGCAUUUAUUGAAUGGUUCAUUUUAACUGGCUUUUUAUGCAACUUUUUACGGAUUUAAAGAAUAACUUGGCACUACUAAUUAUGUUCUUUACAUUCCUUUUAUGCAACUUAUUAUUCUUCUUUUUACGUAUUGAAAGGGGAAUCCUAGCAUUCCAUGUAGGGUUUAUUCAAGAUAUUUCUAUGUUGAUAUACGAGUAAUUAAUCUAAUAUAUCAUCUUCUCCUCUGU